AACGAACGCUGGCGGCGCGUCUUAAGCAUGCAAGUCGAACGGUAAGGGAGAGCUUGCUCUCCCCUAGAGUGGCGGACUGGUGAGUAACGCGUGGGUGACCUGCCCUGAAGAUGGGGAUAGCUAGUAGAAAUAUUAGAUAAUACCGAAUGUGCUCAUUUACAUAAAGGUAAAUGAGGAAAGGAGCUACGGCUCCGCUUCAGGAUGGGCCCGCGUCCCAUUAGCUGGUUGGUGAGGUAAAGGCCCACCAAGGCAACGAUGGGUAUCCGGCCUGAGAGGGCGAACGGACACAUUGGGACUGAGAUACGGCCCAAACUCCUACGGGAGGCAGCAGCUAAGAAUCUUCCGCAAUGGACGAAAGUCUGACGGAGCGACGCCGUGUGAAUGAAGAAGGCCGAAAGGUUGUAAAAUUCUUUUGCAGAUGAAGAAUAAGAAGAAGAGGGAAUGCUUCUUUGAUGACGGUAGUCAUGCGAAUAAG
rnacentral:rRNA from 1 species